rnacentral:rRNA from 1 species
GACGAACGCUGGCGGCGUGCUUAACACAUGCAAGUCGAGCGGAAAGGCCCUUUCGGGGGUACUCGAGCGGCGAACGGGUGAGUAACACGUGAGUAAUCUGCCUCUGGCUUCGGGAUAGCCACCGGAAACGGUGAUUAAUACCGGAUAUGACAUCUUCACGCAUGUGAUGGGUGUGGAAAGUUUUUUCGGCCAGGGAUGUGCUCGCGGCCUAUCAGCUUGUUGGUGGGGUAAUGGCCUACCAAGGCUUCGACGGGUAGCCGGCCUGAGAGGGUGACCGGCCACACGGGGACUGAGACACGGCCCAGACUCCUACGGGAGGCAGCAGUGGGGAAUAUUGGACAAUGGGCGGAAGCCUGAUCCAGCAACGCCGCGUGAGGGAUGACGGCCUUCGGGUUGUAAACCUCUUUCAGCACAGACGAGGCGCAAGUGACGGUAUGUGCAGAAGAAGGACCGGCCAGCUACGUGCCAGCCGCCGCAGUAAGAC